rnacentral:lncRNA from 1 species
UCUCAUGUCUUCUUUUUUUGUGGUUCAUAUAAGAGCCUCAGGUAGUCACAUGUCUGUGUGCCCAGCAACAGGCUAAUAACCCCAGGAACACAUGAAAGAAGACAGUUUGACCUUGAGUAACAAUGGAAAAGGAGAAGGAGCUUCAAGAAAUUCCUUUUGGAGAAAAGGAAAGGAGAAGUGGUCACAUGAUUAAAGAAUACAUCUUCCUUUUCAACUAUAAUAC